rnacentral:lncRNA from 1 species
UCAUUGCCAUAAACCUGGACAUACUCGUGACAUAUGUUAUAUUUUGCAUGGUUCACCACCUAGUUAUGAUCCUAUUGUUCUAAAGGAAUAUAAUGAGCUCCUUCGAAAUCGCGCAAGUAAACAACGUUUUGGAAAACCUCGAUCCAAGUGUAGUCAUUGCCAUAAACCUGGACAUACUCGUGACAUAUGUUAUAUUUUGCAUGGUUCACCACCUAGUUAUGAUCCUAUUGUUCUAAAGGAAUAUAAAGAGUUCCUUCGGUAUCGUGCAAAUAAACAAACGUCUCCACAAGUAGUUUCGGUUGCACAACCUGAUGUUUCUGUUGUGGGUAAUUCAUUUACUUGUGUGUCACAGUCUAGCACUCUUGGAUCAUGGGUCAUAGACUCAGGGGCUUCUGAUCAUAUCUCUGGUAAUAAAUCACUAUUGUCUGAUAUUGUUUAUUCACAAUCUCUUCCAGCUAUUACUUUAGCCAAUGGGAUCCAAACAAAACCAAAAGGGGUUGGAAAAGCCAAACCCGUAUCUUCUGUCACCCUAGACUCUGUUCUUUAUGUCCCUGGUUCUCCUUUUAAUCUAGCAUCGGUUAGUCGUUUGACGAAAGCCCUACAUUGUAGCAUAACCUUUUUUGAUGAUUUUUUUCUCAUACAGGACCACAGUACGAGAUAGAUGAUUGGAACAGGACAUGAAUCACAAGGCCUUUACUAUCUUACCUCUUCAAAUUCCUUAACAGCAUGCUCCGUUACAGAUUCCCCAGAUCUAAUUCACAAACGUUUGGGACAUCCAAGUCUAUCCAAACUGCAAAAGAUGGUGCCUAGUUUGUCUAGUUUAUCCACAUUAGAUUGUGAGUCGUGUCAACUUGGGAAACACACUCGUGCUACAUUUUCACGUAGUACUGAGGGUCGUUCAGAGUCUAUUUUUUCAUUAGUUCAUUCUGAUAUUUGGGGUCCUAGUAGAGUCA